rnacentral:rRNA from 1 species
GAUGAACGCUAGCGGCAGGCUUAAUACAUGCAAGUCGAGGGGCAGCAUGGUGUAGCAAUACACUGAUGGCGACCGGCAAACGGGUGCGGAACACGUACGCAACCUACCCAAAACUGAGGAAUAGCCCGGGGAAACCCGGAUUAAUACCUCGUAACAUAAUUGAAUGGCAUCAUUUAAUUAUUAUAGCUCCGGCGGUUUUGGAUGGGCGUGCGCCUGAUUAGGUAGUUGGCGGGGUAACGGCCCACCAAGCCUACGAUCAGUAACUGGUGUGAGAGCACGACCAGUCACACGGGCACUGAGACACGGGCCCGACUCCUACGGGAGGCAGCAGUAAGGAAUAUUGGUCAAUGGACGCAAGUCUGAACCAGCCAUGCCGCGUGAAGGAUGAAGGUCCUCUGGAUUGUAAACUUCUUUUAUAUGGGACGAAACCUGGAAAUUCUUUUCCAAUUGACGGUACCAUAGGAAUAAGCACCGGCUAACUCCGUGCCAGCAGCCGCCGUAAUAC